rnacentral:rRNA from 1 species
UACGUAGGGUGCGAGCGUUGUCCGGAAUUAUUGGGCGUAAAGGGCUCGUAGGCGGUUUGUCGCGUCGGGAGUGAAAUCAUCUGGCUUAACUGGGUGCUUGCUUUCGAUACGGGCAGACUAGAGGUAUGCAGGGGAGAACGGAAUUCCUGGUGUAGCGGUGAAAUGCGCAGAUAUCAGGAGGAACACCGGUGGCGAAGGCGGUUCUCUGGGCAUGAUCUGACGCUGAGACGCGAAAGCGUGGGGAGCGAACAGG